AUUGAACGCUGGCGGCAGGCCUUACACAUGCAAGUCGAACGAGUGGCGGACGGGUGAGUAAUGUCUGGGAAACUGCCUGAUGGAGGGGGAUAACUACUGGAAACGGUAGCUAAUACCGCAUACUAUCAGAUGUGCCCAGAUGUGAUUAGCUAGUUGGUGGGGUAACGGCCCACCAAGGCGACGAUCCCUAGCUGGUCUGAGAGGAUGAUCAGCCACACUGGGACUGAGACACGGCCCAGACUCCUACGGGAGGCAGCAGGGGGGAAUAUUGGACAAUGGGCGCAAGCCUGAUCCAGCCAUGCCGCGUGUAUGAAGAAGGCCUUCGGGUUGUAAAGUACUUUCAUCAGGGAGGCGUUACCCGCAGAAGAAGCACCGGCUAACUCCGUGCCAGCAGCCGCGGUAAUAC
rnacentral:rRNA from 1 species